rnacentral:rRNA from 1 species
UACGUAGGGUGCGAGCGUUAAUCGGAAUUACUGGGCGUAAAGCGUGCGCAGGCGGUUCGUUGUGUCGGUGGUGAAAUCCCCGGGCUUAACCUGGGAAUGGCCAUGGAAACUGGCGAACUGGAGUGUGGCAGAGGGGGGUGGAAUUCCGCGUGUAGCAGUGAAAUGCGUAGAGAUGCGGAGGAACACCGAUGGCGAAGGCAGCCCCCUGGGCUAACACCGACGCUCAGGCACGAAAGCGUGGGGAGCAAACAGG